rnacentral:rRNA from 1 species
UAUGGGGGGGGCAAGCGUUGUUCGGAAUUACUGGGCGUAAAGGGCUCGUAGGCGGCCAACUAAGUCAGACGUGAAAUCCCUCGGCUUAACCGGGGAACUGCGUCUGAUACUGGAUGGCUAGAGUUUGGGAGAGGGAUGCGGAAUUCCAGGUGUAGCGGUGAAAUGCGUAGAUAUCUGGAGGAACACCGGUGGCGAAGGCGGCAUCCUGGACCAACACUGACGCUGAGUGAGCGAAAGCCAGGGGAGCAAACGGG